AUUUCUCUGAGAUGUUUGCCAGCGGGCCAGUCCCCUGAGCCGAUAUUUAGUACCAAUAGAAUGUAUUGCUCUGUGAUCGGUGUGCAUACUCGGUUCGUCCGAGGAGCCUGAAGGUUGCGACGGUGCGUUCACCUUGAACCAUGGGUUCAAGGGUUACAGCCUGCGGCGGCAUCUCGGAGAUCCU
rfam:Serratia sp. DD3 SRDD_contig000047, whole genome shotgun sequence.